CUCAAAGGAAUUGACGGGGACCCGCACAAGCGGUGGAUGAUGUGGUUUAAUUCGAUGCAACGCGAAAAACCUUACCUACCCUUGACAUGGCAAGAAUCCUGGAGAGAUCUGGGAGUGCUCGAAAGAGAGCUUGCACACAGGUGCUGCAUGGCCGUCGUCAGCUCGUGUCGUGAGAUGUUGGGUUAAGUCCCGCAACGAGCGCAACCCUUGUCAUCAGUUGCUACGAAAGGGCACUCUGAUGAGACUGCCGGUGACAAACCGGAGGAAGGUGGGGAUGACGUCAGGUCCUCAUGGCCCUUAUGGGUAGGGCUACACACGUCACACAAUGGCCGGUACAGAGGGCUGCCAACCCGCGAGGGGGAGCCAAUCCCAGAAAACCGGUCGUAGUCCGGAUCGUAGUCUGCAACUCGACUGCGUGAAGUCGGAAUCGCUAGUAAUCGCGGAUCAGCUUGCCGCGGUGAAUACGUUCCCGGGUCUUGUACACACCGCCCGUCACACCA
rnacentral:rRNA from 1 species